GGGGCUGUGCCUGUGGGUUGCUCUGGCUGUUUGUUGGUGUUGAGUGGAAGGUUCUGGACACCAGGACACCUUUCAAGCAGUGUGAGGACUCCACUGAGGGCCUUUGUGGAUCCAGCAGGAAGCCACAGCCAGUGGUGGACACCAACAUCCACACUUGAUCGUGUCUGUCGGGCAAGCUCUUUUGCUCUCAGAGAGUGUUUUUGCUCUUCUGGCCAUUCGAUUGAAUUGGUGUCAGUUUCUACUUGUGCUCACUGGGCUUUCCAAGGGUGUUCUCCUUACUUGACACCACCUUUCCCAUUCUCUAUUUCCAAGCAGGAGCUCCCCUUGGCCUCCAUGUCUCGCUCUGGCCAGGCAGAUGUGGUGUGCCAACGGUACGUGGAGUCCAGACCCUGAGCAGAACAACAACUGAGGAGAGAGGCUGCCCUGGGUGAGACAGGAGAAGUGCCCCUUGAAGCGGGGGACGCUCCGCUGGCGCUGCCUCUCGCAUCCACCGGCAGCACAUUCCUUCUCUCUCCUUGGUGCCUGGCACUUUGCCAUCUCCCAGGGCUCACCAAGUCCAAAUAUUCCCUGAUGGAGUCCAUCUCCAGCUUGACCAGCACUCACCCGAUCUGUCCCCGCACCAGCUGGCUAAAGGCUCCCCAGCAUGGCUGGCUGUCGGUGCCUUCUGUCACUCCCAGUCAGCGUGGCUCAGUUCUUUGCCUUUUGGGUUCCAGAGUGUUUGCUACAGGUAUGGAGUGUUUCUCUUCUCUCUCUUCUUGUCUUCCAUGUAGCCCGUUGUUGCCUCGGUGGAGUUUCAGUGACCCAAAUGCAGACUGCUCUGUGUUGACCAAGUGUGAUGCCAAAAGAAGAGCUAGGCUUGAAAGCAGGCUGCUGGACGGGAGACUCCACCACCAGGAGCCGUUGUCAUUCCUGACCUCCCCGGGUUGCAGCAUUGGACGUGCCCUGAUCCUUGGGAAGGAGUUAGAGAGCUGUAUUUCGUUUUCAGAAGGUGGUCAUUACUUACCUUGUCUUGUGUCCAUCAGGUGGCAGUGGAGAGUUGUGACCCUCCCAAGCGGUGCAAGGGCUCUACUGAGGCUCUUGGUGGAUGCCGCAGGAACCCGCACGCACAGAUGGAUGCCAAGAUCUGCUCCUUCCUCUGUCUGGCAAGCUCUGCUGACCCCUGAGGUUGUUUCCAUACUUGCAGAGGUCCUACGGGCUUGGUGUAGGUUGUCGCUUGUGCUCACCUUGCUGUCACCGGGUGUUCUUCCUUUGUCCAUCAUAGGGGUCCCCCGUUCUGAUGGGAUCUCCGUGCCUUCUGUUGAUCCCAGAGUACUUCAAUUUGUUCUUUUAUUUUCAGGUUCUGUACCAUUUCAUGCUUUUGUGAUGUGUUUUUCUUCCUUUUGUUUUACAGGCUGGAAAUGUACACUUGGUUGGAUCUACGAUGACCCAAAUGCAAUCUAUUUAGGUUAGGCCAUGUGUGGUGGGAAAGGAAGAGGUAGGCUCCUAAGCAAAAUUCUGGUGAGGGCUGUGUUUCAUUUGGGGUUUUCUGGGAUGCCCGCUACUCCUCCCUACCCCAUUUUGUUCAUUACUGUGUGUGAAGGAUUCUUUUUUCCUUCUAGGAUUGGGGACACCAGCACCAGAUGCUGUUGCACUUCCUGACCUCCCUGGGUGACAGCGUUGGAAGUGCCUGCACGCUUGGAAAGGGCUAAGUGAUUCCUUCAUCAUUACCAGAAUGUAGUCUGUGUUCAACAGGUGAUGGUGGAGAACUGUGGCCUUCUGCUCAGCGCAAAAAGUCUACUGAGGAUCUAGGUGGAUAGAACAGGAGUGCAGAGCCAUAGGUGGACGCCAAGAUGCACUCCUUCCUCUGUCUGGCAAGCUCUGCUGACCCCUGAGGUCGUACCCACGCUUGCAGAGGUCCUAUGGGUUUGGUGUAGGUUGUGCCUUGUGCUCACUUGGCUUUCACCGGGUGCUGUUGCCUUAUAAUAUUUUUCCCAUUCUCUAUUUCCAAGCAGGAGGUCCCCUUGGCCUCCGUGUCUCGCUCUGGCCAGGCAGAUGUGGUGUGCCAACGGUACGUGGAGUCCAGACCCUGAGCAAAAGAACAGCUGAGGAGAGAGGCUGCCCUGGGUGAGACAGGAGAAGUGCCCCUUGAAGCGGGGGACGCUCCGCUGGCGCUGCCUCUCGCAUCCACCGGCAGCACGUUCCUUCUCUCUCCUUGGUGCCCGGCGCUUUGCCAUCUCCCAGGGCUCGCCAAGUCCAAAUAUUCCCUGAUGGAGUCCAUCUCCAGCUUGACCAACACUCACCCGGUCUGUCCCCGCACCAGCUGGCUAAAGGCUCCCCAGCAUUGCUGGCUGUCGGUGCCUUCUGUCACUCCCAGUCAGCAUGGCUCAGUUCUUUGCCUUUUGGGUUCCAGAGUGUUUGCUACAGGUAUGGAGUGUUUCUCUUCUCUCUCUUCUUGUCUUCCAUGUAGCCCGUUGUUGCCUUGGUGGAGUUUCAGUGACCCAAAUGCAGACUGCUCUGCGUUGACCAAGCACGAUGCCAAGAGAAGAGGCAGGCACCAGAACAGGCUGCUGGUGAAUGCUGUGCGUGCCUUGGGGUUCUUAGAAUGACUUGCGUUCCUCCCUAACCUGUGUUGUUCAGUACUACUAUUGAGGGUUUUAACUUUGAUUCUAGGAUAGGAGACUCUGCUGUCAGAUGGCGUUGCCUGUUCUUCUCUCCCCAGUUUGCAGAGUUGGAUGUGACCUCAGCAUUGGUUAAGGGGUAAGUGAUUCCUUCACCCUGACCAGAAGGUAAUCUCUACUUGUCUUGUGCUGUGUGGAACAGGUUGCAGUGGAGAAGUGCAGUUGUCCGGGGUGCUGCAAGGACUCUAUUGAGGCAUUUGGUGGACGCAGCAGGAACCCACAGCCAGAGAUGGACGCCAAGAUGCACUCCUUCCUCUGUCUGGCAAGCUCUGCUGACCCCUGAGGUCGUUCCCACGCUUGCAGAGGUCCUACGGGCUUGGUGUUGGUUGUCGCUUGUGCUCACCUUGCUGUCACCGGGUGUUCUUCCUUUACCCAUCUUUAGGGCUCCCCAGUUCUGAUGGGAUCUCCGUACCCUCUGCUGAUCCCAGAGAACAUGGGUUUGUUCUCUUAUCUUCAGAUUCAGAAUGUUUUCCUGCUGUUAUGCGAUGUCUGUCUUAGUUUUUAUUUUUUUUCUGGGCUGCCUAUUGAUACAUCCUCAGUCUGCAAUAAACCAAAUGAUUUCUGGUAAGGUUUGACCAAGUGAGAUGGAAAAUGAAGUGGUAAGCUCCAAAACAGGCUUGCAUAUUGGAGACUUAUCCACCACAUGGUGAUGCCUUUCCUGACCUCCUUGAUUGCAGUGUUGGAUGUGCCCUGAUCCUUGGAAAGGGGUGAGUGAUUCCUGCAUCCUUACUAGAAGGUAAUCUCUACUUACUUUUUCUUGUGUCCAACAGGUGGCACUGGAGAGUUGUGACCCUCCUAAGCAGUUCAAGGACUCUACUGAGGCUCUUGGUGGACUCAGCAGGAACCCACACCCAUAGGUGGGAUGCCAAUAUCUAUUCCUUCCUCUGUCUGGCAAGCUCUGGUGUCCCUUGAGGUUGUUCCCGUGCUUGUUGAGGUCCUAUGGACUUGUUGGUUUUCCCUUGUGCUCACUGGGCUUUCCAAGGGUGUUCCUCUUGCUUGACACCACCUUUCCCAUUCUCUAUUUCCAAGCAGGAGGUCCCCUUGGCCUCCGUGUCUCGCUCUGGCCAGGCAGAUGUGGUGUGCCAACGGAUCAAAGCCUUCAGAAUCCAACCAAAAGAAAUGGGGAGAGAGGCUGCCCUGGGUGAGACAGGAGAAGUGCCCCUUGAAGCAGGGGACGCCCCGCUGGCGCUGCCUCUCGCAUCCACCGGCAGCACGUUCCUUCUCUCUCCUUGGUGCCCGGCGCUUUGCCAUCUCCCAGGGCUCGCCAAGUCCAAAUAUUCCCUGAUGGAGUCCAUCUCCAGCUUGACCAGCACUCACCCGGUCUGUCCCUGCACCAGCUGGCUAAAGGCUCCCCAGCAUUGCUGGCUGUCGGUGCCUUCUGUCACUCCCAGUCAGCAUGGCUCAGUUCUUUGCCUUUUGGGUUCCAGAGUGUUUGCUACAGGUAUGGAGUGUUUCUCUUCUCUCUCUUCUUGUCUUCCAUGUAGCCCGUUGUUGCCUUGGUGGAGUUUCAGUGACCCAAAUGCAGACUGCUCUGCGUUGACCAAGCACGAUGCCAAGAGAAGAGGCAGGCACCAGAACAGGCUGCUGGUGAAUGCUGUGCGUGCCUUGGGGUUCUUAGAAUGACUUGCGUUCCUCCCUAACCUGUGUUGUUCAGUGCUACUAUUGAGGGUUUUAACUUUGAUUCUAGGAUAGGAGACUCUGCUGUCAGAUGGCAUUGCCUGUUCUUCUCUCCCCAGUUUGCAGAGUUGGAUGUGACCUCAGCAUUGGUUAAGGGGUAAGUGAUUCCUUCACCCUGACCAGAAGGUAAUCUCUACUUGUCUUGUGCUGUGUGGAACAGGUUGCAGUGGAGAAGUGCAGUUGUCCGGGGUGCUGCAAGGACUCUAUUGAGGCAUUUGGUGGACGCAGCAGGAACCCGUAGCCAGAGAUGGACGCCAAGAUGCACUCCUUCCUCUGUCUGGCAAGCUCUGCUGACCCCUGAGGUCGUUCCCACACUUGCAGAGGUCCUACGGGCUUGGUGUUGGUUGUCGCUUGUGCUCACCUUGCUGUCACCGGGUGUUCUUCCU